ACUCGAGUGGCGAACGGGUGAGUAACACGUGGGUGAUCUGCCCUGCACUUUGGGAUAAGCCUGGGAAACUGGGUCUAAUACCGAAUAGGACCGCAUGCUUCAUGGUGUGUGGUGGAAAGCUUUUGCGGUGUGGGAUGGGCCCGCGGCCUAUCAGCUUGUUGGUGAGGUAAUGGCUUACCAAGGCGACGACGGGUAGCCGGCCUGAGAGGGUGACCGGCCACACUGGGACUGAGAUACGGCCCAGACUCCUACGGGAGGCAGCAGUGGGGAAUAUUGCACAAUGGGCGCAAGCCUGAUGCAGCGACGCCGCGUGAGGGAUGACGGCCUUCGGGUUGUAAACCUCUUUCGCCAGGGACGAAGCGCAAGUGACGGUACCUGGAGAAGAAGGACCGGCCAACUACGUGCCAGCAGCCGCGGUAAUACGUAGGGUCCGAGCGUUGUCCGGAAUUACUGGGCGUAAAGAGCUCGUAGGUGGUUUGUCGCGUUGUUCGUGAAAACUCACAGCUUAACUGUGGGCGUGCGGGCGAUACGGGCAGACUUGAGUACUGCAGGGGAGACUGGAAUUCCUGGUGUAGCGGUGGAAUGCGCAGAUAUCAGGAGGAACACCGGUGGCGAAGGCGGGUCUCUGGGCAGUAACUGACGCUGAGGAGCGAAAGCGUGGGGAGCGAACAGGAUUAGAUACCCUGGUAGUCCACGCCGUAAACGGUGGGUACUAGGUGUGGGUUUCCUUCCUUGGGAUCCGUGCCGUAGCUAACGCAUUAAGUACCCCGCCUGGGGAGUACGGCCGCAAGGCUAAAACUCAAAGAAAUUGACGGGGGCCCGCACAAGCGGCGGAGCAUGUGGAUUAAUUCGAUGCAACGCGAAGAACCUUACCUGGGUUUGACAUGCACAGGACGCCGGCAGAGAUGUCGGUUCCCUUGUGGCCUGUGUGCAGGUGGUGCAUGGCUGUCGUCAGCUCGUGUCGUGAGAUGUUGGGUUAAGUCCCGCAACGAGCGCAACCCUUGUCUCAUGUUGCCAGCACGUUAUGGUGGGGACUCGUGAGAGACUGCCGGGGUCAACUCGGAGGAAGGUGGGGAUGACGUCAAGUCAUCAUGCCCCUUAUGUCCAGGGCUUCACACAUGCUACAAUGGCCGGUACAAAGGGCUGCGAUGCCGUGAGGUGGAGCGAAUCCUUUCAAAGCCGGUCUCAGUUCGGAUCGGGGUCUGCAACUCGACCCCGUGAAGUCGGAGUCGCUAGUAAUCGCAGAUCAGCAACGCUGCGGUGAAUACGUUCCCGGGCCUUGUACACACCGCCCGUCACGUCAUGAAAGUCGGUAACACCCGAAGCCGGUG
rnacentral:rRNA from 1 species